rnacentral:SRP_RNA from 1 species
ACUGAGUAUGGUGUUACAUGCCUGUAAUCCCUGGUGUCAGAUAGGCUAAAAUUGACAGAUCUCUUGUGCUUGGGAAUUCUGAGCUUCAGUAGCCCAAGACUUCAAUGGCAGGUGUCUACACUGUUUAGCAUCAAUAUAGUGAGCACUCAGGAACUGGGAGGCCAUCAGGCUACCUAAGGAGAGGUGAAUUGAUCCAGGUUAGAAACAGAGUAAGUCAGAGAUACUGUGCAGAUCAGUAGUAGGACCAGGCCUCGGAGUCUUUCCUGCACUUGCAGCCUGGGUGAGACAGGGAGACAUAGUCUUAA